rnacentral:lncRNA from 1 species
AAUUUAAGGAAGCUGGCUUGUCAUGUUUUGGAUUUUUUGUCACAUUUUCGGAAUCCUCUGGUUUUAUCCAUUUGAAUGCCUUGAAAAAAUUUGCCCGGUGACCCCCGUUUUUCUUUUUGAAAUUCUUUAACAUUUAUAAUGAUAAGCCAUCUGUAAAAGUCUUUUAAUUACUUUUUAACAGUUUUUGAGAACUUUAACUUGUCAAUAAU